rnacentral:tRNA from 1 species
AUUUAAAUAGCUUAACCAAGAGCAUAAUAUUGAAGAUAUUAAGGUAAUUAUAAUAUUUUUAAAUA